GAGCAGUUCCGGGAUAGCCAUGGAGACGGAGAGUUGAAGUAAAAAGGUAGCAAAGACCAUGGUUCUUACUUUAUGCAUUGAGAGAGGAUCUCUGCUUGGAGCUGCACUCACCAAUUCAUCUCAAUUGGCGGGGUCAGUGAAUUCUAAAGACUGAUCUGUCUCUACCUCCCCAGGAGAAGACUACAAGUUCAGGCUUCAAAACCCAGCACUUUUACAUCUGUUCUGGUGACUGAACUUCUGUUCUGGUCCUUCUUGGGUGGGAGACUGAAUUUCUAUUUGCCUGUGAUGGAAUGUGUCUCUGUGUGCGGGGAAGCACCUCAUUGUCUAAUAAGCAGGAACGUCAGUGAUAGCACACUCAGAGUUGUCAGGGAAAAGGCACCGGAUUCUGCAAAUGGAAUCACGGUCUGUGAUCUUGCUCUCAACAGGUAACAUUUCUGCUCAUUCUCUUCAUGGGACCCUUAACAAUUCCCUGGAAACCAAGGCCACACUGCUCUUUACUGCCAUCUUCUAGAGUCUGGUGGUUAGUCCGAAGUCAGAGGCAGAAAGAGUACACACUAAAGCUUGUCUAUAUGCCACAACUGGUG
rnacentral:lncRNA from 1 species